CGAGUGUUUGUAGACAAUCAAUAGAAGAUGCCCGUUCUCAGGAUAAGAGAUCUGUGUUUGAGAGAGGCGAGGGAAGUUCAGUAGAAAAACGAGAGAGACUUAAGGAAACUUAAGUGAGCGCAGAGGAUGAUACAAGAGUUUAAAGACGUCUUAGGGGAGGGGCCGGACUGAAGCCUGAGGGGCGGGGUCGUCAUGGCGCGCAGCGUCGCGCACCGCGCAUGCGCAUCCCUCCGGCGGUUAGAUUUGAAUACUUCGCCGACACUCGGAGGUCGUUGUGAAGUGGCGCCUCACUCCGAAGGAGCGCGCGGACCCCAAACAAGUCAAGCAGGUGGCCUGUGGCGGAAAGAUCGUUUUCAGAAAUGGAUGGGAUGUCUUCAGAAGCUAAUGAAGAGAAUGACAAUAUACAGAAGCCUGUUAGAAGACGUCAUUCCUCAGUAAGAAAUAUUUUUAUUUAAAUUAAUACCUGUUACUUUUUAAUGAAUAUAACUACAGUAAUUUUGAUUGUGGCUUUACCUUGGCAUCCCAACUAGCUUCUUAUGUUUCUGGAUAGGCUCAAGUAGUUUGGUUAUAUAAUUCAAUAAAUAUGCUAAAAUUCAUUUUUUUGCGCUUUUC
rnacentral:lncRNA from 1 species